UUUAUACUCACUUUGUCAGGAAUUACUUGUCAUAAAAAUGGAUAAGAAUAGAUGUAUCUAGAACUAAGAUAUAUCUAGAUACAUCCAUUCCUUCGACAAGUAUAUUCGAACGGAGGGAGUAGCAA
rfam:Hordeum vulgare subsp. vulgare, WGS project CAJW01000000 data, contig: morex_contig_1567419